rnacentral:rRNA from 1 species
UACGGGGGGGGCAAGCGUUGUUCGGAAUUACUGGGCGUAAAGGGCUCGUAGGCGGCCAACUAAGUCGGACGUGAAAUCCCUCGGCUUAACCGGGGAACUGCGUCCGAUACUGGAUGGCUUGAGUGCGGGAGAGGGAUGCGGAAUUCCAGGUGUAGCGGUGAAAUGCGUAGAUAUCUGGAGGAACACCGGUGGCGAAGGCGGCAUCCUGGACCGACACUGACGCUGAGGAGCGAAAGCCAGGGGAGCAAACGGG